UGAUGGGUUUUGAGCAUUCUAACACAUCCUAAGUGUACAUGCAACCCUAAUAAACCUUGGAUCUAUGUUUUUCUAAGAUACAUGCAAAUAAUUAUUUUUCCAAGGUUAAUAUCCCAACUAGCAUGGUAUGGGGAACUUGAAUCAAAUAAAGCUAGUAGAAACACUUACGUUGUAGUUGUAGUUGAUUCCUUGGAGUUUUAGAGCCUAGCACCAAUAGUGUGGAUGCCUCAAAUGGAAAUCACAAAUCACCACAAACUUGGAACUUUGAGAGAAUAGUCACUACUAUCUUGAAAUCGGCCUUCACCUCAACAAGUGUCAACUAGUGUGAUUUCAAGAACCAAAGCCUCCUUUAUAUAGUGUGAUGGAUUAGGGUUACAUCCAUGUAAACCCUAAUACCCAUGUCUCUUCAUUUCCAUGAGAUCCAUGGGUUAAAGCUCCAUGGAGUAUCCAUGGACUUUUUCAUCCAAGCCUAGCCCAUUCCAAAUAAGCAUAAGCCCACACUAUAUAAAUAUAGAAGCCCAUAUUUAAUUAGUAAUAUCUUUGAUCACUAAAUUAAUCCUAGAUUAAUUAUAGAUCAAUACUAAUUAAAUAAUAUGAUCUUAUAUUAAUAUAUUAGAACUUAUAAUAUAUUAAUAAAUCAUAACUUGUACUAUUCUCAAAAGAUUAUCCAUAAAUUGUUCGGGUGAAGUGCAACCCAAAUGGACCAUGCCGGGUCGGGUCAAGUACAUACCAAAUAUAGUUAUGGACUUAGACACUAUAUCCAACAGUCUCCCACUUGGAUAAGUCUAAUAACUAUAGUUGCAAGUAUGACUUCAGGAACCGAUCAGCAAUCGUAGCUCUUUAAACUCUGUUGAACUAGAACGCGCCAUUUAGAUAAGUGAUCAUAUAAUCCUCUGUUCUAGAUAUCAGCCGGACAAAUACAUGGAACAUUGUCUUGCUUAUUGUCCAGCAUUUGUUUCCCGAUUUCCGAUUUGUUUGACAUAGAACUUAAUUGAACACAUCAAUUUAGUUCUGACCGGGCCCGGUACAUAGGUCAAAACAAAAUCAUCGAGGGGCCCAGAUAUCAGCUUCUAAUCCAAGAAGGAACAGAUAAACUUCGACUCAUAUGUUUGUUCUACCACUCAUUGAAUUACACACAAAAGCACGUUUUAUAACAUCGAGUUACCAAUGCGUUUUCGUACAAUCAAUGCAUAACCAACUCGUAAGUAACAAAUCAUAUCUCUAGGUUUGAAGACUUAUAUGAUAUUACCGUCUCACGAUCACUCGAGAUAAAAUUCCAUGAAGUGAUUCCAGUGAGCGUGGGUUGAGUCCAAUGCUCAGAACUUAUGAGCACUCAUGAUUGUUGUAGCCAUGUCCAACACCUUAGACCUCUGCAACCAAUCAUGACAGUCUUGAUUCAUACCUACUUCCGACAUAUGACCGACUGUGGAGGUUUGAAUAAUAUGAUAUACCAAACAUAAUUAUUCUGGAAGUCAAAACAUGCAAAAGAAAUAUAGUAAACGAUCGACAAGAGAUAGCAACACUUUACUCAUAAAUAAAACACCUUUUAUUCAUCAUCAAAUGUCAAUUACACUUUACAAAUUUCAUAAUUUAUCUAACUACUAAAACUUAUAUCAUCCUUCAGCCCUAUGCUCCGAGCAUGCUGGAGAUGCUUAACCCUACUCAGUCCCUUCGUGAGGGGAUCUGCUGGGUUCUCAUCCGAUGAUACCCUCUUUGCCACGAGGAUUCCUUCUUCUAUUCGAUGUCUGAUGAAGUGAUAUUUUCUGUCAAUGUGUCUAGAUCUCCCAUGAUCUCUUGGUUCCUUGGCUAAGGCAACCGCACUAUUGCUGUCACAGAAAAUCUCCAUUGGCUCUUUUAUAGCUGGUACAACUCCAAGGUCUCCGAUGAAGUUCUUUAGCCAUAUAGCCUCCUUUGCUGCCUCGCUUGCUGCUAUAUACUCUGAUUCACAAGUGGAAUCAGCCACUGUCUCCUGCUUGGAACUCUUCCAAGUGAUUGCUGCUCCGUUUAAGGUAAAUACCCAGCCCGACUGAGUGCGGAAAUUAGCCCUAUUAGUCUGGAAGCUAGCAUCACUAUACCCUACAACUCUCAAGUCAUCACUCCCACCGAAGGUAAGGACCCAGUCCUUAGUCCUUCGUAGGUACUUGAGGAUAUUCUUUACCGCAGUCCAGUGUUCCUUGCCAGGGUUCCCCUGAUACCUGCUAACCAUGCUCAAAGCAAAGGCUACAUCAGGUCGAGUACACGUCAUAGCAUACAUGAUCGAUCCUACAGCUGAAGCAUAAGGUAGUCGACUCAUUUCUGCUAUCUCAGCCUCAGUACUAGGGCUUUGUGUCUUACUCAAUCUGGCAUUACUCUGAAUGGGUAACUCACCUUUCUUGGAGUUAUGCAUGUUGAAUCUUUUCAACACUUUGUCCAAGUAGGUACUUUGACUAAGUCCAAUUAGUCUUUUACUCCUGUUUCUCAAAAUCUUUAUCCCUAGGAUAUAGGCAGCUUCACCAAGGUCCUUCAUAGCGAAACACUUCCCAAGCCAGGACUUUACUUCCUGCAGGGUUGGGAUGUCAUUUCCUAUGAGUAGUAUGUCAUCCACAUACAGUACCAAAAAACUGACUAUGCUCCCACUAGCCUUGAUAUAGACGCAAGAUUCAUCUUCACUCCUUGAAAAGCCAAAUUCCUUGACUUUCUCAUCAAAGCAAAGAUUCCACCUGCGAGGUGCCUGUUUCAAUCCAUAAAUGGAUUUCUCGAGUUUACACACUCUAUUGGGGUACUCGUUACUGACAAAACCCUCUGGCUGAACCAUGUAAACAUCCUCAGCCAACUUUCCAUUAAGGAAAGCGGUUUUGACAUCCAUUUGCCAUAUUUCAUAGUCAUGAAAUGCAGCAAUGGCUAACAGAACCCUAAUAGACUUUAUCUUGGCCACUGGUGAAAAGGUUUCAUCAUAAUCAACUCCCGGAGUUUGAGAAUAACCUUUUGCAACCAGUCGUGCCUUAUAAGUGUGUACAUUACCAUCCAUGUCGGUCUUCUUCUUGAAGAUCCAUUUGCACCCUACAGUCUUACGACCAGGUACAUUCUCAACCAAGUUCCAAACUUGAUUGUCAUACAUGGAUUGUAUCUCGCUAUCCAUGGCCUCUUUCCAUUUAGCAGCCUCAGGGCCUGCCAUGGCUUCCAUGUAGCUGUUAGGUUCAUCCAGACCUACUAGUGUCUCAUCACUAAUAAGUGUCUCACCUUCCGCAGUAAUAUGGAAACCAUAGUAAUGCUCAGGUGCAUUCCUAACUCUCGUGGAACGCCUCAGAGGUACAGGCUCAUCAACUGGCUCAACAGGAGUUUCCUCCUCAAGUUGAGGGCUAGUGUUUGAAGUUCCUUCACCGCUUGAUUCUUGAAUUUCUUCAAGAUCAAUUUGCCUCCCACUGUCUCCUUGGCUUAUAAAUUCUCUCUCUCGAAAGACUCCUCUUCUUGCUACAAAGACCACAUUGUCACUAGGUCUGUAGAAGAGGUAACCAAAGGAUUGCUGUGGGUAGCCGAUGAAAAUACACCUCUCGCUUCGAGGUUCGAGCUUAUCAUGAGUCUCGCGUCUCACGAAAGCCUCGCAACCCCAAAUCUUGAUGUGGUCUAGCUUAGGUACUUUACCAGUCCACAUCUCGUGAGGAGUUUUGGCAACUUUCUUUGUAGGGACAAGAUUAAGAAUAUGGGCGGCAGUCUCUAAGGCAUACCCCCAGAAUGAGAUUGGUAGCGUAGCUCGACUCAUCAUGGAACGAACCAUAUCCAACAAGGUUCGAUUACGCCUCUCAGCCACACCAUUCAACUGUGGUGUCCUGGGAGGUGUCAAUUGUGAGACAAUCCCACAUUCCCUAAGAUAGUCGAGGAACUCUGAACUAAGAUACUCACCUCCUCGAUCGGAUCGAAGCAUCUUAAUGUUCCUGCCCAAUUGAUUCUCGACUUCCUGUUUAAAUUCCUUAAACCUCUCGAAAGUCUCUGACUUAUGCUUGAUUAAGUAGACAUAUCCAUAUCUACUGUAAUCAUCAGUAAAAGUCAAAUAAUAACGAUUAGCAUCCCUUGUGGCAUGUUUGAAUGGUCCACACACAUCCGUGUGUAUAAGGUCCAACAAACCUUCACCCCUCUCACACGAACCUGUGAAGGGUGACUUUGUCAUUUUUCCAAGUAAGCAUGAUUCGCAACUAUCAUCUGACUUUAGGUCAAACGACUCCAAGACUCCAUCCUUUUGGAGUUGGCCUAUGCGUUUCUUGCUUAUAUGUCCAAGACGACAAUGCCAUAAUGAUGCUUUAUCCAAGUUAUUAUUAUUAGUAGAAUCAAUACACAAAACAUUAUUUCCUAAGUUAUCUACAACAGAUACAGCUUCAUACACACCAUCACAAGGUAAUGCUUUAAAAUAAAAAACAUUAUUAUAGAAAACAUCUAUAGAACCAACUUCAUUAUUAAAUGAAAAGGUAAACCCUUGUUUGUACAAAGCAUGAAAGGAAAUAAUAUUUCUUGCCAUUCCUGGCGAAUAACAACACUUAUUCAAAUCUAAACUAAACCCACUACUUAGCGAUAAAGUAUAAACUCCAAUCUUGGUAACAGGUAUAGCUUUCCUAUUCCCCAUGAUCAAGUUUAUCCUUCCUUGCUCCACAUCCUCACUUCUUCUUAGUCCCUGCAAGUCACAACAAAUGUGAAUACCACACCCGGUAUCAAGGACCCAAGAAUUAGAAUGGGGUGAGUUAUUAGAAAUGAUAGUGUAAAUACCUGCAUGGUUGGGUUUAACUUUCCCAUCCUUCACAUCUUGCUGGUAUUUUGGGCAGUUCCGCUUCCAAUGAGCUUUUUCAUGGCAAUAGAAGCAUUCAGCCUCUUUUGGGUCAGAAGAAGGAGUAAUGAAACCUUUCUUGGUUCCACUUGAAGAAGAGCCAUCAAGGGUCCGAGCCUUGGUACCCUUAGAAGAGCUCUUUCUCUUCCUCCCUCGACUUUUCCCGAUUGCCAAAACCGGAGUAGAGUUUUGAGUAGGAGUGAUAGCAACCGACUUCCCCUUAAGACCUGAUUCUGCGGUCUUGAGAAGUCCCUGAAGUUUGCUGAGGGUGACUUCUUCCUUGUUCAUGUGAUAUGUCAUGCGGAAUUGAUCAUAGCACGAUGGUAAGGAAUGCAAAAUAAUAUCUAUUGCAAGAUCCUCCGGGAAGUUCACAUUAAGCUUCAGCAAACGAUCCACAUACCUUUGCAUUUUCUGCAUGUGGCUCGUGACGGAUUCCCCGUCCUUCAUCAUGGUUGUUAUCAUGGAGCAGAUGAUUUCAUACCUCUCUUGUCUUGCACUUUGAUGGUAUCUUUCCAUCAAAUCUUGGUGCAUGUCAUAAGGGUAGAAAUCCUCAUAAGACUUUUGGAGUUCCGCUGUCAUCGUGGCCAUCAUGAUGCAAGCCACUUUCGUAGCAUCCCUUUCAUGUGCCCGAAAUUCAGCGAUCUCCUGAGGAGUUGCAGUGGACUCAUCAAUCUCCUUAAGCUCCUUGUCAAGGACAUAUUCUUUGUCCUCGUAGCGGGUAAUCAUCCUGAUGUUUCUGAUCCACUCAUUGAAGUUGGAUCCAUCAAAGGUGACUUUCCCACACAAGUUCAUAAGGGUAAAGGAGCCAUUAGGAUUAGAGCCAGAAGCAUUGUUGAAAGACAUCUGAAGGAAAGAGGACAAGAUUAGUUUAGAUAUAAGAGAGUCCUUAAUAAAACACCCAAAUGUAAUAUUAAGGCUAGGAUCCAAUCACAAUAUAAUAUAACUUAGAAGAGGUAUGCCGUAAUCUAAGCUAUAUCAUAUUUGAAAGGUAGGUGAAUGACGAUUCACCAAUUUCCACCACGAAAACCGCAAUAUUUUAGUAUUAGGUUUUUGAAUGGUUCUUAGAAAUUCCUAGAUUCUUUGAGAUUCAAUGAACUUUUCAAAGGCAUGUUUCAAUCUCGAGUGUGCCCUCCAAGUUUUGUGACUGGGAUACCGAGGAUCACAAAACGAGGUGUGAAGUAACCAUGCAAAUCACUUGGUACCCUUAAAGUUUAUCACUCAAUCGAUGUGCCGGUUAACCACACACGCUCCAUCGAUACUAUAAUAAACCCUAAGUCACCCUUUACCUACCUUGUUAAGUCCAAGUUAGUGUGCCGGUUAACCACACACGCUCCACCAACGACUUAAUCAAAGUGUAAAGUGUAAUUUCAUGGAAUAGCACCUUAUUCACAUUUUUCCUAAAGUAACUAAGAUUGGGAAUUUAAUAAAACAUUUAGUUACUUUAUAAUAUUCAUCAUACUUUGAAUGAGAAUUAAUAAGUCCUUGUCUUACCCGUUCGGCUAACGACCCUCCACCGAUCAAGCAAGCGGUGGGUGAGAGUGGACACCCAUUAAGUCACCAUUUUAUAGGCAACAACCUUAUACCCACCUUAUAGACCGGCUUCGUGAAUGAGGCGUACUAGCGGUAAGACGACUUUGUUCUUAUACAUAUAUAUAUAAUUAUUAAAUCAUAAUAAUAUAAGUAUAAGGGUUGAAUUUUAACUUUUAAAAUUCUAGGGGUUGGAACUAAAGUUUUAACUUAACUUUACUUGUUCCAAAACUUGAGGGCAAGUUUUGUAAACUUUCAAAACUUUUCAUUUCUUGUAACUUAUGAGUUUAAUAGAGUAAUAAAAUGAGGACUUUUCAUUUUUCCUAACUCUUGUGUUCUUUUAAUGGUUUUUAAUCCAAGAGACUUUUGGUUUUCCAUAACUUGAGGACAAGUUAUGGACUCCAUUAAAACACAUUAUGAUCAUGAAUUAAUCUACCACAUAGGUUACAAAUAAUUCCUAUGAUCAUCUAAACAUCAUAAGAACAAGAAUAUGAAUAUGAACACUUUCAAGAAUCAAAAUCACAUUUAAUCUUUGUAAUUUUGAUAACUAGUUGUUGUAAAUGGAUUAGCAAAGACAUUACACCAUCUAAAACAAGUUUUCAAGUACCAAAACAGUUUAGGGUAAUGUUUCUAGUCCAUUUCCAGCAACUAAAGUCGAAAAUCUGCACUCUGUGGCUCCUACUCGCCGAGUGCAUGAACCUACUCGGCGAGUAGGUUGAAGAUACACAUGAACUCGGCGAGUCCCCCCAUGGACUCGGCGAGUUCAUCAGGCAGACAACAAGUUUUUCGACUUUUUCAACUAUUUUGCAUCAAGUAUCAAACAAACAAGCCUAGGCUCUGAUACCACUGAUGGGUUUUGAGCAUUCUAACACUUCCUAAGUGUACAUGCAACCCUAAUAAACCUUGGAUCUAUGUUUGUCUAAGAUACAUGCAAAUAAUUAUUUUUCCAAGGUUCAUAUCCUAACUAGCAUGGUAUGGGGAACUUGAAUCAAAUAAAGCUAGUAGAAACACUUACCUUGUAGUUGUAGUUGAUUCCUUGGAGUUUUAGAGCCUAGCACCAAUAGUGUCGAUGCCUCAAAUGGAAAUCACAAAUCACCACAAACUUGGAACUUUGAGAG
rnacentral:lncRNA from 1 species